ACCCCAAAAUUAAGAAACUCGAAUAGAUCUGCAAAGUCGUCUUCUUUAAAAUGGAAAAAUACAACCCCCAGACAAAUAUAGGACUUCGGCAUGAAAAUUGAAAAGUCACCCUAGGCCUAACUCUUCGACAUUUACAAUUGUAUAUUUAUAGUAAAAUACAAUUGCAUUUAUCAUUGUUUACUUCACCCUGCUGACUUGUUAUAUCGUCUGCAACCCCAAAUCAAAGCUUCAGUGAUUGUUUGCAUCUAUUGGGAAUGGCGGAUGAAAGAAUUCAUCCGUCGAGUUAUGUGAAAUUGA